rnacentral:tRNA from 1 species
GGGGAUGUAGCUUAGUGGUAGAGCACUUGCCUAGUAUUUAAGAGGCACUGGGUUCGAUCCCCAGCACUGCAA